rnacentral:tRNA from 1 species
CAAGACAUAGCUUAAAUUCAAAAGCAUUCAACUUACACUUGAAAAAUGCCUAAUAGACUAAAUAGGCUGUCCUGA